AAAAAGGCAAACAGUGGGUUUCCGUGCCAAUGUUUGAUUGUCCGUCUUAUAUGAAAAUUUUUUAUAAUUAGUAUUUUUAUUGUUGUUAAAUGAUAAAGCAUGAUUAAUACUUUAUGCGUGGCUUAUCCUUUUAAUUUUUUUCAUAAUUUUUUUUAAAUAAGACAGACGGUCAAACGUUGGACACGGAAACUAGGGUUUGUCUUUUU
rfam:Oryza sativa (indica cultivar-group) chromosome 2, whole genome shotgun sequence.